AAGGGGCAGUAAUGUAUAGGUAAUCUACCCUGGGGAUGGGCAUAGCCGUUCUAACGGACGGGUAAUACCCAGCGAUUCGACGGUGAGGCAUCUCACUGUCGGGAAAUGAAUUUCGCCUCGGGAGGGGCCUAUAUCGUAUUACCUAGUUGGUGGGGUAACGGCCUACCAAGGGGAAGAUGCGUAGCGGGUGUGAGAGCACGACCCGCGCCACUGGCACUGAGACACUGGCCAGACACCUACGGGUGGCUGCAGUCGAGGAUCUUCGUCAAUGGGCGAAAGCCUGAACGAGCGAUGCCGCGUGUGCGAUGAAGGCCUUCGGGUUGUAAAGCACAAAAGAGGUGAGAAAGGGAAACUUGAUCAAACCUCAGUAAGCUCGGGCUAAGUUCGUGCCAGCAGCCGCGGUAAGACGAACCGAGCGAACGUUGUUCGGAAUCACUGGGCUUAAAGGGCGCGUAGCGGGUGUUCAAGUCCGUGGUGAAAUCCUCCGGCUCAACCGGAGAACUGCCUCGGAUACUGAAUGUCUCGAGGGUGGUAGGGUAUGCGGAACUAU
rnacentral:rRNA from 1 species